rnacentral:lncRNA from 1 species
GCAGCGACAUUUCCAUCUCCAUUAAGAGUUGUUUCCAAGGUAUCCUCCACGCCAUCUGCUCUCAUCCAAGUGGAUGAUCAUCGCAAGAAAAAACGAAAGCAAACAUGGCACAAACACAAGCAAAUGCAAGGGUGAGCUAAUUAUAUAUAUAAAAAAAAACAUGCAUCAUAUCAAACAUAUAAUAUACAAGAGUUAAAUUUUUAAUCAAAACAGAUUAAGGCAUAAUUCCUAACAUGUUGAAUACUAAACUUUACUCAUCCAGACUUUAGAAUGAUAGUCGAGCUAUGGCGGGCCAUGCACCCGUGGUGGCUUGUGAUACUUAGGCUCCCCCGCCCUGAGCU